AGACGGAGGGGGCUAGCGUUGUUCGGAAUUACUGGGCGGAAAGGGCGCGUAGGCGGCUUGUCAAGUUGGAGGUGAAAGCCCGGGGCCCAACCCCGGAACUGCCUUCAAGACUGGCAGGCUAGAGUUCGGGAGAGGAGAGUGGAAUUCCCAGUGUAGAGGUGAAAUUCGUAGAUAUUGGGAGGAACACCGGUUGCGAAGGCGGCUCUCUGGUCCGAUACUGACGCUGAGGCGCGAAAGCGUGGGGAGCAAACAGGAUUAGAAACCCUAGUAGUCC
rnacentral:rRNA from 1 species